CCUACGGGGGUCAGCAGUGAGGAAUAUUGGUCAAUGGGCGCGAGCCUGAACCAGCCAAGUCGCGUGAGGGAAGACGGUCCUAUGGAUUGUAAACCUCUUUUGUCGGGGAGCAAAAGACGCCACGCGUGGCGUUCCGAGAGUACCCGAAGAAAAAGCAUCGUCUAACUCCGUGCCAGCAGCCGCGGUAAUACGGAGGAUGCGAGCGUUAUCCGGAUUUAUGGGGUUUAAAGGGUGCGCAGGCGGAAGAUCAAGUCAGCGGUAAAAUUGAUAGGCUCAACCUCUUCGAGCCGUUGAAACUGGUUUUCUUGAGUGAGCGAGAAGUAUGCGGAAUGCGUGGUGUAGCGGUGAAAUGCAUAGAUAUCACGCAGAACUCCGAUUGCGAAGGCAGCAUACCGGCGCUCAACUGACGCUCAUGCACGAAAGUGUGGGUAUCGAACAGGAUUAGAUACCCUAGUAGUC
rnacentral:rRNA from 1 species